CUGAGUUACUAAACUCCCAAACCCGUGUGAACCUACCACUGUUGCUUCGGCGGCCACGCCCCGGGAGCCCUGUGCUUCCGGACCCAGGCGUCCGCCGGAGGAUCCAAACUCUUGAUUUUACAGCGUAUCUUCUGAGUAAAUUACAAAAUGAAUCA
rnacentral:misc_RNA from 1 species